UACGUAGGGUGCGAGCGUUGUCCGGAAUUAUUGGGCGUAAAGAGCUCGUAGGCGGCCUGUCGCGUCGGUUGUGAAAGCCCGGGGCUUAACCCCGGGUCUGCAGUCGAUACGGGCAGGCUAGAGUUCGGUAGGGGAGAUCGGAAUUCCUGGUGUAGCGGUGAAAUGCGCAGAUAUCAGGAGGAACACCGGUGGCGAAGGCGGAUCUCUGGGCCGAUACUGACGCUGAGACGCGAAAGCGUGGGGAGCGAACAGG
rnacentral:rRNA from 1 species